rnacentral:lncRNA from 1 species
UUCAAGAUUGCCAAAUUUCCAUUGAUAAAACAUGUAUUUUUGACGACAUUCAUACAUAUUUUCCUUUAGAAUUUUCAGACAUUUUAGAUUAAAUUGCGUACAAAAUUGUCUGAAAUGUUGGGAAAAUACUAUCAUAAUUCUCUCUGUAAUUUCGGUUUUUAUCAGAGGAAACUUGGCAACGUCUGAAGGCUCAUACGCCGUUCUUCCUUAGCACGACAGGAUAUGUCUCCUUAUCGAAAUUUUACGUAAAACAUGAUCAGCGAAUUGGAAAUUUCCAAAUUCAACUUAUGAGUGAGAAAUGGCGUGUUACAUGAACAUCAAAUCAUAUUUCCUGCUCACCCAAAACUUUUCUAUGAGCCCCCCCCCCUUAAAAAAAUAAAUAAGAACAAUAAAAAUCAUUUGUACAAAUGAUAUCAUGAGUCCUACACAUAUAUUAUAGGCGAAACCUAUAUUCCUAAUGUUUUAGGCGAAGUAUACCUAUAUUUAUUUGUACGUCUCUUUGCCCUGUUUCAGCUUUGGUCAACUCAGGGCGCAAAUGUAAUAGCUCAAAGGUUUACAAGUUGAAUCCUCACUGCUCAUCCGUCAGCUUUUGCCGAUCCGGGUCUAUGUACGUGCUGAACUGCGCCGCUGGCUCCAGUUACGAUGCAAAAUACAGAGGCUGUGUGCCAAGAUCAAAAGCACGGUGCUAAUUGACAACAAAAUUGCUCCGUGAUUGAAUCUCCUCCGAUUUCACGAGAGUCCACGAGUCUUUCUUGGGCAUGAGUGGACUUUGUCGUGAUGUUUUAUAGACUGAGUUUUCUUUUAAACACUCUUGUAAGAUCAACUUACUUGAUAAGGAUUCUGAACUGUAUUUAUUAAUUUUAAUUCAUUGAUCUAUAAGAAAAUUCAACUUUUGUCAAAUGAGCCAAUAUGGGCUGUUGGACGACUGAAUAACGUUCUCUGAUAAGUUGGUUGACAAUCGUUGAAAUCCUUGCUUUAGAGAAUAUCACGUUCAAAUGGACAAAAUUAGAAUUGAUUAGAUAAGUUUUUGUGCGGGUUUACUUGAUAAUUGAGAGACGUGUCAAUGCUACUAUUUUCUCAAGUCAAAAUCAAAUGCAAACAAUUUUCUCUAAAGUGAAUGUUUCACGAUUAAUUGUGCCAUACACCUCAUUCUUAGGUUCUUAUUUUGAAAUUUGAUGAGAUUGGAUUUUGCACUAUUGAGGGUUAUACGUUGCCCUCGGUUUGCUGGUGGUUAGAUCGGAAGUCUGUCUUGCACCUGAAACCACCUAUGCAAAAACCUUGAAUCAUCAACAUUUGAUUUCCCUCAUUUAGAGAAGGAGAUAAUCAUUCUGUGAAUGGCGAGAUCUCAAGCACUUUUCUCUCUAGUUUUUUCAGGAUCGUUAUUGACUUAGAACAAUUUUCAUAUUAAUGGCAUAGCCAUAUUUUUUAGUGCCCCAUCAGGAAUAAGUUAAAACUGAAUGUGAAAUUCUCCCACCAAAAUUAUCAGGAAAAACUCUAGCUUUUAUUUGCUCGUAUUUGAGUCUUAUCAAAUAUGAUGAAAAAAUAAAGGAUAAAUUACAUGUAAAUAAAAUUCUCUGUUUAGCAACUUGUUGACGUAUACGGUUUUAGAAUUGAUAACAAAAAGGAAUCAUCAGUAUACUUUCUCAUCGAAAUGUCCCUUACUAUCUGCAGUCUGGGAAAAAACAGUGACGUAAAUGAAUGUUUAAUAUGUAACUAAUUUGUGAAUAGAUGUUGCAUGAAUUAAAAAAAUUGAGUGGCUUUAACUGUUGCAUAAGUGUGUGAGUUUAUAUGAAUGUGAAUGUAAAAAUACAAAGGAGUCAGUUUGUACGCUCAUUGUGAGUUGCUCAAAAUAAACUUGUGAUUGCAGAAAAUUUGGUUGUUUUUAUUCAAUAUCAUCAUCAAAAAAUUGUUUUGUUCCAAUUAAUCAAAUUACAAAGAAAUAGAAGCCACAAAACUCAAAAAAAAAAAAAAAAAUUAAUCAAAUCAAGGCUUGAAGUAUAUAAAGCUUUGAAAAUUUCCGUGUUUUGGUAGGUAAUUUUGUGCCUGCGAUCAAUUCAGCAAUUAAAUAUUAUAAAACUUAGCCUGCUCUAACUAAAUGCGUUUCAAAACUUUUACCACGUCACGGUUAAAAAGAGCACAAGGUUGUUAGAUGAUAUGGACAUUUCCGAUCAAUCGGGGUAGAAUUGGUAGCACCCCAAUAAAUUAGGAUAUUAACUCAAAUGUUGCGGUGAUCCCCCAACUUAAGUUGCGGUACUAUACCACAAUUAACUGGAAACGUCCAUAUCAUCCAAAAAAUUAAGGUAGUACCACAGGGAUAACCUCUCAUACUUUUUGCCGUGCGUAAUAAUAAAUCAUUAUUAAACGAGUUUUUUCCUUAAAGGAAAGUUAAUUAAACGGAAAAAUGCAUGUUAAUUUCAACUAUAAAUAUUCCAGCCUGAUUUU